rnacentral:rRNA from 1 species
UUAGGAAUAUUGGACAAUGGACGCAAGUCUGAUCCAGCCAUGCCGCGUGAGCGAUGAAGGCCUUCGGGUUGUAAAGCUCUUUAGUCCGGGAAGAUAAUGACGGUACCGGAAGAAUAAGCCCCGGCUAACUUCGUGCCAGCAGCCGCGGUAAUACGAAGGGGGCGAGCGUUGUUCGGAAUUACUGGGCGUAAAGCGUAUGUAGGCGGCUUUGUAAGUUAGAAGUGAAAGCCCAGGGCUCAACCUUGGAACUGCUUUUAAAACUGCAGAGCUCGAAUGUGGGAGAGGAUAGCGGAAUUUCCAGUGUAGAGGUGAAAUUCGUAGAUAUUGGAAAGAACACCAGUGGCGAAGGCGGCUAUCUGGACCACAAUUGACGCUGAGAUACGAAAGCGUGGGGAUCAAA